rnacentral:rRNA from 1 species
UACGGAGGAUGCAAGCGUUAUCCGGAAUGAUUGGGCGUAAAGGGUCCGCAGGUGGUAGUGUAAGUCUGCUGUCAAAGAAUGAGGCUUAACCUUAUCAAGGCAGUGGAAACUACACAGCUAGAGUACGGUCGGGGUAGAAGGAAUUCCUGGUGUAGCGGUGAAAUGCGCAGAUAUCAGGAGGAACACCGGUGGCGAAGGCGGGUCUCUGGGCCGAUAUCGACGCUGAGGAGCGAAAGCGUGGGGAGCGAACAGG